AAGUCAUGGUGAGGGCAUUUCUUAUUCAUUUUCUUAAAUCUCUCCUAAGUUUCAUAAUUUGAUUCUUCUCCAAACUUUGCAAAAUAUGAGAUAUAAUUUAAAAGUUU